rnacentral:rRNA from 2 species
CCUACGGGAGGCAGCAGUAGGGAAUCUUCCGCAAUGGACGAAAGUCUGACGGAGCAACGCCGCGUGAGCGAAGAAGGUCUUCGGAUCGUAAAGCUCUGUUGUUAGGGAAGAACAAGUAUCGGAGGAAAUGCCGGUACCUUGACGGUACCUGACGAGAAAGCCACGGCUAACUACGUGCCAGCAGCCGCGGUAAUACGUAGGUGGCAAGCGUUGUCCGGAUUUAUUGGGCGUAAAGCGCGCGCAGGCGGUCCUUUAAGUCUGAUGUGAAAUCUUGCGGCUCAACCGCAAGCGGUCAUUGGAAACUGGGGGACUUGAGUGCAGAAGAGGAAAGCGGAAUUCCACGUGUAGCGGUGAAAUGCGUAGAGAUGUGGAGGAACACCAGUGGCGAAGGCGGCUUUCUGGUCUGUAACUGACGCUGAGGCGCGAAAGCGUGGGGAGCAAACAGGAUUAGAUACCCUGGUAGUCCACGCCGUAAACGAUGAGUGCUAAGUGUUGGAGGGUUUCCGCCCUUCAGUGCUGCAGCUAACGCAUUAAGCACUCCGCCUGG